rnacentral:rRNA from 1 species
UACGUAGGCAGCAAGCGUUGUUCGGAAUUACUGGGCGUAAAGCGAGUGUAGGCGGUUCGAUAAGUUUGGUGUGAAAUCUCCCGGCUCAACUGGGAGGGUGCGCCGAAGACUGUCGAGCUAGAGUGUGGGAGAGGUAGGCGGAAUUCCUGGUGUAGCGGUGAAAUGCGUAGAUAUCAGGAGGAACACCUGCGGUGUAGACGGCUUACUGGACCACGACUGACGCUGCAACUCGAAAGCGUGGGGAGCAAACAGG